GCGGGUGUGGUGGAAUUGGCAGACACGCUAGACUUAGGAUCUAGUGCCGUAAGGCGUGGGGGUUCGACUCCCUUCACCCGCA
rnacentral:tRNA from 4 species